GUUCACCUAAAAAACCCAACCCUUAACCCGUUGGUAGCCGAACUACGACUUGCUCUGAUUCUCAUUCCAGAUGAGAUACGUAGGCAUAAGACGCGAUGUCUUAGCAAGCACACUCCUCUUUAACCCAUAGGUAGCCGAGCUACGAAGACUCUGAUUCUUAUAUUCAGAUGGGAUACGUAUGCAGUGGAUGCGACAUCCGUGCGAGUCAU
rnacentral:lncRNA from 1 species